UACGUAGGGCGCAAGCGUUGUCCGGAUUCACUGGGUGUAAAGGGUGCGCAGGCGGGAGUGCAAGUCAGAGGUGAAAUCUCACGGCUCAACCGUGAAAACUGCCUUUUGAUACUGCAUUUCUUGAGUUAGGGAGAGGUUGAUGGAAUUCCAGGUGUAGCGGUGAAAUGCGUAGAUAUCUGGAAGAACACCGGUGGCGAAGGCGGUCAACUGGCCCUCAACUGA
rnacentral:rRNA from 1 species